AUGUGGAGCGCUUAGAAGUGAGAAUGCCGGUGUGAGUAGCGAAAGACGGGUGAGAAUCCCGUCCACCGAUUGACUAAGGUUUCCAGAGGAAGGCUCGUCCGCUCUGGGUUAGUCGGGUCCUAAGCUGAGGCCGACAGGCGUAGGCGAUGGAUAACAGGUUGAUAUUCCUGUACCACCAUUAUUCGUUUUAAGCGAUGGGGGGACGCAGUAGGAUAGGCGAAGCGUGCUGUUGGAGUGCACGUCCAAGCAGUGAGAUUGAGUGUUAGGCAAAUCCGGCACUCUUAAGAUUGAGCUGUGAUGGGGAGAGGAACUUGUUCCUCGAGUCGUUGAUUUCACACUGCCGAGAAAAGCCUCUAGCUAGAAUAACGGUGCCCGUACCGCAAACCGACACAGGUAGUCAAGAUGAGAAUUCUAAGGUGAGCGAGCGAACUCUCGUUAAGGAACUCGGCAAAAUGACCCCGUAACUUCGGGAGAAGGGGUGCUCUUUGAGGUUCACGCUUCGAAGAGCCGCAGUGAAUAGGCCCAAGCGACUGUUUAUCAAAAACACAGGUCUCUGCUAAACCGUAAGGUGACGUAUAGGGGCUGACGCCUGCCCGGUGCUGGAAGGUUAAGAGGAGUGGUUAGCGCAAGCGAAGCUACGAAUCGAAGCCCCAGUAAACGGCGGCCGUAACUAUAACGGUCCUAAGGUAGCGAAAUUCCUUGUCGGGUAAGUUCCGACCCGCACGAAAGGCGUAACGAUUUGGGCACUGUCUCAACGAGAGACUCGGUGAAAUCAUAGUACCGGUGAAGAUGCCGGUUACCCGCGACAGGACGGAAAGACCCCGUGGAGCUUUACUGUAGCCUGAUAUUGAAAUUCGGUACAGUUUGUACAGGAUAGGUAGGAGCCUUAGAAGCGUGAGCGCUAGCUUACGUGGAGGCAUUGGUGGGAUACUACCCUAAUUGUAUUGGAUUUCUAACCCGCAGCACUUAUCGUGCUGGGAGACAGUGUCAGGCGGGCAGUUUGACUGGGGCGGUCGCCUCCUAAAGAGUAACGGAGGCGCUCAAAGGUUCCCUCAGAAUGGUUGGAAAUCAUUCAUAGAGUGUAAAGGCAUAAGGGAGCUUGACUGCGAGACCUACAAGUCGAGCAGGGUCGAAAGACGGACUUAGUGAUCCGGUGGUUCCGCAUGGAAGGGCCAUCGCUCAACGGAUAAAAGCUACCCCGGGGAUAACAGGCUUAUCUCCCCCAAGAGUUCACAUCGACGGGGAGGUUUGGCACCUCGAUGUCGGCUCAUCGCAUCCUGGGGCUGUAGUCGGUCCCAAGGGUUGGGCUGUUCGCCCAUUAAAGCGGUACGCGAGCUGGGUUCAGAACGUCGUGAGACAGUUCGGUCCCUAUCCGUCGUGGGCGUAGGAAAUUUGAGAGGAGCUGUCCUUAGUACGAGAGGACCGGGAUGGACAUACCUCUGGUGUACCAGUUGUCGUGCCAACGGCAUAGCUGGGUAGCUAUGUAUGGACGGGAUAAGUGCUGAAAGCAUCUAAGCAUGAAGCCCCCCU
rnacentral:rRNA from 1 species